GGCUGGGUCUUGCACUGGACACCCUGUCCCCUGCGAGUCCCUCCGCCGUGUGCACAUCUCUCCCCACCCGCGUCCUGGAUCUGAACCUGAGCUGCUAGACCGCGGGCAGAAGCGGGUCUUGGGAAUUCUGCCUACCGGAAAGACUGAUUGUGAGUAUGGACAGGUUACAGAAAAGUGUACUGGCUCAGGUUUGGGCAUUGUAUUGCAUCAUAAUAAACGAUGGGAAGCCAGGUUUGGUGGCCCACAUAUAUAAUCCCAGCCCUCAGGGAAAUUGAGGCAGGAGAAGCAAGAGUUGAGAGCUAACUAGGUUAAAACUCUGUCUCAAAAAACAAAACAAAACACAAAACUUUACAGAGAACUGUGGAAGUUACUGAUGAUAUAUCCACUGUAUAUUAAUAGUGUGUAACGGAUUGUAUUGGGAGUAUUAUGUGCAAGGUUUCAUUUAAUCUUAUAACCACCUGGGGGGUAAUAAUUGCCCAUUUUUAUUUACUUACUGGCAGUAUUUGGGAUUGAAUCUAGGACCUUCACACUGAGCUACAUCCCCACUCCACCUCCUUUUUAAAAAAAAGUCUGAUACAGGAUAAGCUAAAUUGCUAGGCAUACCCUGAAUUUGGUGAUUCUCUGCUUCCCACAGUGCUGGGAUCAUAGGUUUGCACCGCCACCAUAGACUUUUUCUCAUUUUGGAGAAGAACUGAAAUCCCAGAGAGCUCAAGUAAUUUGCCCAGGAACAGAGCUAGUGAAUGCAAAAUGUGGCCCUCAAAUCCAGCAAAUGCUGAAGGCUGUCUAAUAGUAUGUAUCUCAAGGCAAGAGAUGAAGCCAGAGGUCACAAGUCAUGUCCCCAGGAAACUUCUCAGGGACCCCCAAAGUGAGUAGAGAGGAAUAAUGCAGGAUCCCUGCUAGGAUGGAGGUUAAGCUCAGGGGGAGAUGGAGCAGAAAGGAGAGAUCCAGUUCAACCUGGGAGAAAAUGGGCCAGGUGUUGGACUAGAAUCAGGUGUUUGCCAGCCAGACAGGGCCAUGGCGCUGUACUGACAGCCUUACAACAUGUGGAAGUGAAACACCCCCCAGAAACUUUCUUCCCCAGCAGAUGCUGCAGAGAAGAGCCAAGGUGGUUUCCUGAUUCCUCUCUGGACAGUCACAUCCUGCUUCCUUGCCUGCACAUAGCCUGCCCUCUGUGCCAUGGUCUUAGGUCACCAUCCUUGGAUUGAGUCAUCUGAGUAGUUGGGAAAUGUUCUGCGAGGCUGCUUGGAAGGCUGCAGGGAGAUGAGGCGGUCUGGCUGUCCUCAAAGCCCUUACUGGAAGCUACUGUGGAAAUGUCUAUAACUCAGCCCAGACGUCACUUCCUCCUGAGAGCUGCCUGACCCCUUGCCUACAGAUGCCAGUACAAUGUGCAGUUUCUUGGGAGCUGACAGCUGGAGGUCUCCAGCUUCGUGGCCGUGUGGAACUUCUCCAGGUAUCUCACAGCAGCAUGGGGAGCCAGUGAGGGCCAGAGAGUGCCAGCAAGAAGGCAGGAUGCCCAGGGGCUGCCGUGAAGUUCAGUAAACGUUUGUGUGUCAGAGAGGCAGCAUGACGUAGUGAACAAAAGCACGACUAUAGCGCCUGACUUUGUGGGUUCCAUCCCAGUUCUGUCAUCUGUUGGCUUUUAGGAUCCCACCACAGAUUGCCCAGGAAUUAUAUCUGAUAGCUACUUUUCUUAGGCUCUGCCAAUCAAUAAGAAUUUCUCUAUCUUUUCCUGGUUUCCCUGUUUCCAGUUUGAUAAGUACUGGCCAGAUGUUUCAUAGAAUGUCCCUCAGUUUGGGUUUAUCUGAUAUUUUCUCACCAUUAGAUAGGAACUGAAAGCCAUUCUUACCAUGUUAUCAUGAUGUCAAUCUACCCUACGAAUGCGGACACUACCCUUGAUCACUUAAAUGGUGACUACCAGAUUUCUUCUCUAAAAAAGUUAAUAUUUUUCAACCUCUAUAUUCUUUGAAAUCAUAUCAUGAAGUACAGCCCCACAACAAAAAGCAGGCAAGUCAAAUUUCACUUCCUGGAGGUAAGAGUAUCUACAUAGAUUCUUUGGCAUUUCUUUUAAGAUAGAAAAAUGGAGAACAUGGUGGAUAGAUAGCAGCAGCUAUGGAGGCUCUCUGAGAUACCCCGCUUAGAAUCCAGUAAUGUUGUGGUACGAGGAGUCCUAAGCAAGGGGAGAUAUAUAUACCCUGCCGACCCAGGAACAAACUAAGUUAAGAGAAACCAACUGGAAAUGCAAUCCUGGUGCUAUAACAGGAACAGAUAAAAUCUCAGUGUGGAAGCUGGAACCUGCGCCACUGGAAGCCGUGAUUUGAAUUUCCUGCUGCUGCUGCUGUGUCCAAAUCCAUACGGCACAAAGAGAGACACACAAAAGCUCUGAGACCAGGAAUCGGCGAACAGCGUUGAGAGCAGGAGUGGCAGGGAGCCCUGCAUCAACCUGCGGUGAGUGAGCGGAACGGGGACCCUUCCAUAGAGUAGGAGGCUCGAGCAAAGGACAUACUGGGACUGGACAGACUAGCCGGAACAGGACACUGCAGUAACUUUAGUCACAUAUUCCCCUCUCAAGUGGGAUUGGUGGGAAGUGCCUGGCCUGGGUGACGCUGCUAAGACCCAGUAGGCUAGCCCAAACCAGGUCCCAGCGCCUGGCAGUGCACCCUAGCAGUGAAGCCUUCAGUAGAUUGACCUGGAGGGAUGGGCCCAGCAGAGGCUGCCCAGGUCUGUGUCUCCCUAGUGCACUGCAGUGGGCGAGAAAACCUAGCUGGCUGCAAUUCAAACAAACUGUAACAGACAAAGAGACAAAAACUGGGUCUCCUAUAUUCACUUGUAUGGAAGGAACAAAAAAGUAUGGGAAGAGGAAGCAACAAGAAAGGGUCCUCAGUCCCCAAUCCUGAGAACACUGACCCAGGAAAGGGAAAUGCAAAGGAGGACAGAAAACAUGCAGUAUCAGACAUGGCACAAUAGACAUAAAGCGAUAUCUCCAGCGCCUCAUAGAUGAGUUUAAAAGUGAAGUAUUUAACGAAAUAAAGCAAGAUAUAAGUAGCAGACUUAGAGAAAUGCUAAGAACCACCCAAGAAAAAACAGAUGGUGGAAUGGAAGAACAGAAAAAAAGGGGAGAAUUGUUUGAUGGAGAAAAUAGAGAAAACAUAGAAUACGUGAAGCAGGUUCAAAGAGAUUACCAGGAAACUAAAAACUCUAUCAAAAGCUGGCAUAACAGCUUGAAAGAAACUAAGGAUAGAUUAUCUGAACUGGAGGGUAGAUUUGUAAUGUGGGAGCAUGAAAUGAAAAACUUCUUAAAAAUAACAAGAAAACAAACAGCAAUAAUACAAAGGCUAGAAGAUGAUAAGAGGAUCUAUAACUUAAGAAUUAAGAACAUAAAAGAAGAAGUAGGGACACAAACAAAUGAACUACAAAAGCUACUCACAGAAAUAAUCCAGGAGAAUUUUCCUAAUUUAGCAAAAGGUAAAGAUACUCAGAUGUAUGAGGCAAACAGGACCCCAGCCACCUACAACCCAAACAGAGCUACACCCAGGCAUAUAAUAAUCAAAAUUCCAGAAAUCCAAUAUAAGAACAGAAUAUUAAAAAUCAUCAGAGACAAGAAACAGAUCACUUACAAGGAAACACCCAUCAGAAUUACAGCAGACUUCUCUGCACAAACCAUCAAAUCACGAAGAGCGUGGGGGGAAAUAAUUCAAGCUUUGAAAGAUAAUAACCUCCAGUCAAGAUUGAUAUAUCGUGCACAACUGUCCCUAGAAGUUGAUGGAAAAACAAGUUGCUUCCAGGAUAAAAAGGAACUAGGAGAAUUUGCAACCACCAAUUCAACUCUAUAGAGAAUACUGCAGGAUAUUCUACAAAAGGAAAAUACCAAGAUUCCAGAAACAGUGGCAGAGAGGCCACAAUGAAUGGAGCAGAAAGCAAAAUGAAGAAGACAAACUGACAACAAACAACAGAAAAA